CCUCCUAAAAGGUAACGGAGGCGCUCAAAGGUUCCCUCAGAAUGGUUGGAAAUCAUUCAUAGAGUGUAAAGGCAUAAGGGAGCUUGACUGCGAGACCUACAAGUCGAGCAGGGUCGAAAGACGGACUUAGUGAUCCGGUGGUUCCGCAUGGAAGGGCCAUCGCUCAACGGAUAAAAGCUACCCCGGGGAUAACAGGCUUAUCUCCCCCAAGAGUUCACAUCGACGGGGAGGUUUGGCACCUCGAUGUCGGCUCAUCGCAUCCUGGGGCUGUAGUCGGUCCCAAGGGUUGGGCUGUUCGCCCAUUAAAGCGGUACGCGAGCUGGGUUCAGAACGUCGUGAGACAGUUCGGUCCCUAUCCGUCGUGGGCGUAGGAAAUUUGAGAGGAGCUGUCCUUAGUACGAGAG
rnacentral:rRNA from 1 species